AAAUUUUCAGAUUUUGAUUUCCAGAUGACAGCUUUUUUGAUGUGAAAAUUUAAGGUCUAAAAGUUGGCAGUUUCCAUUGUGUACUGUAGCCAGCAAAUUUUUAGUAAAAUAAUUUGAAAAUCGACCUGGUGGGGGCGUCACGCACUGAGCUUUCGUUCGAUGUGGGCGUAACAUGCCAUCAACCCACUUACGAGGAUGGCAUUUUAGUAGCUGGCGAGAAAGGGACUGAGGCGAGAGAGAAAGAGAUCGAGGAACGAAGAAAAGCGACACAUUGGGCAGUUCAGUCGGUUGCUCUUCUAUUUUCCUCUGCUGCUGCCUUCUCUCUCCCUCUCCUUGUCCUGCAAAACAAUUCCAAGAACGAAGAGGAGAGCGAAUAAAGAAAAGAAAGGAAAUGUUAGAUCGAUCGCCUCACGAUUGGAGACGUAGUUACUGGACAGGGAGAUGGCAAUUUGUGGAGGUUGCGUAAUCUAAAGACGAUACAAACAAGGGUCACAGACAGUUCAUUAUACUAUAAAAUGAAAAUCACGAAACCAUCGAAACUGAAGUGAUCCAUCAGCACUAAACUUGAAAUUCAAUAUUCAAUUUUUAGUCUGGUUGGUUGGGCUAGCAAUUAACUUGUUGAUUAUUGGUUAGUUGUUUAUAGAGGGGCACGAGACAUGGAAUUAUCCUGAUGCCACUCUCAUGAAACUGGAUCCAUGGUUUACUUUGUCUAUAUAACCUAAAAUCAGUUCUCCAAUAAGGUUAUAUGGGUUUAUGGAACUUGAUUCAGCAUGGAUGCAACACAAUUUUUUAGACCAGAUCUGACUUUCAGCAGUUUAACUAUUCUGGUCUGGUCCUAUGAAAUAUGGACUUGAUUGAGCUUAAUUUAAAUUUAACUGGAUUUGACUUGAAUUUGAUGAGUGAAAGGGUCCACUAUGAGUCCAAGGAGUGCAUACCCUAAUGCAGCCAAUAUGUUUUCCAAAGUAGUUUUUCAGUAUCAGAAAAAUGGGUUGGGAGUUGUAAUCAUGUUUGCUUGGGUUGAGUUUGGAUACCCCUUCGUAUAACAAGCCAAAGCUGAGCAGCCCAAAGCUCUUGCAAAUUUCAGCUUGUGUGUAGGUCUAUAGUGGAUGGGAUGCAAAUUUUCGUAUUAAUUACCAAAGUUGGGGCAUGUCGGGUUCUUGGUGGGCUGGGAAUAGUGGGCUUUGGUGGUGCAUUAAUUGCAAACAAAGCAAAAGGAGAUGGGGCACCUAGACUUACAUGGAUGGACAAAGUCGCUGAAGGGAUUUGGAGCUCAGACAGGGGGGUUUUGUGGGGCAUAAACAAUAGAUUGGAGGGAGUGGUCAGUACUGUACAGAUGUACCCGAGUACCAUAGGUGUCAGUUGCCCUGAGAAGUCAUGAUCAGCAUAUGACAUGAUUUUUGGUGGUGAAAUCAGCACGUUGCUUUCCAAUAUUUGAAUUUCAACCAUUUGUAUUUCUCAAAUAUGCAUGGGCUGCUUUCCUUCAGUGACUUUGUCCAGCCAUUUGGCCAUGCUUCAGCGACAAGAAGUUCGAUUUGGGGCUCUCUUUUUUGUAAAUUUCCUCCUGACCUUUGCUCAAACUAAGACUAUCCUAAAAGAAAGGAAUGUCAAAUCGGCCAAUCGUCGGAAUGUGUACGAGAUACCAUAAGGGCCCAAUAUCUCAAUAGCACCCUUGUCUAAAGCUUCGAAUGAGACUGAAUAUCCGAAACGCAGGAACGAUCUGACUAGAAAGUCAGAAAUUGAAUAACACGCUGGCGAGAAGGCCUACAGCCGGUACCCCAGCCUCUGCUGACCAAUCUCUUCCGUCCUCAUCAAGAAUAGACAAGUUCAGAAAGGAGGAAACCAGUUGAAAAAUGGAUGGAUCGUUCAGAACGGGUUCAAGUUUAGCCAAGAGACGCGAACGACCAUGCAAAAUUCUUACCGGCCGGAUCCGGCGAGCAGAAUGAUGCACGACAUAGGGUGUAGACCCAGUCGUUACCAAACCAUAGACCGAACAUACUGGCAAGCAAGUAUCCGCUUAUCUCCCUCCACGAAAAGCAGUCUUCUCGAAAGAAAGAACAUCCAUCGGAUUCACUUUCAAUAAAAUCAUCACGUAAUAAAUCAACAAAACCCAAAGUCAUCUCAUGUUCCCCUUCCAGUUUACCCACUACUGUACCCGCAUGAAUAUGAUCUCCACCAGACAUACGUAAUGCUUUAGC